rnacentral:rRNA from 1 species
UACGGAGGGUGCGAGCGUUGUCCGGAAUCACUGGGCGUAAAGGGCGCGUAGGCGGCCUGAUAAGUAGGGGGUGAAAUCCUGCGGCUUAACCGCAGGGCUGCCUUCUAAACUGUCGGGCUCGAGCACAGUAGAGGCAGGUGGAAUUCCCGGUGUAGCGGUGGAAUGCGUAGAGAUCGGGAAGAACAUCAGUGGCGAAGGCGGCCUGCUGGGCUGUUGAUGACGCUGAGGCGCGACAGCGUGGGGAGCAAACAGG